CCCAAUCAACCCAUGCCCUACACCAUUGUGCCGCCGUCCCCAACAAUCUGACCUUUCGCCGGCGGCCGCCCUCUAGCCAUCGCCAUCGCCAUCCCCAAAUCACCCAAUCUACCGGUUCCCGACACCAGAUCGACGCUGCCCCCAACCGCCUGAUCCCUCCGCCGUCACCCCCACUCCCCCAGGACCGCAGCCCCUCCGCCGCCCCAACCGGCCCCAGUGCCGCCGUCGGCCCCCCACCACCGCAACCCGUCCGCCGCCCCAACCAAUGCACUGUUGAGUCCUCCACCCAGACCACUGACGCCGUCGUCGCCCACCAUCGCAGCUCCUCUGCUGCCCCUAGCAUCCACUGUCGCUUCCUCCACCAGACAACUGCCGCUGUCGCCCCCAACCACUCCAGACCGGUGCCAACGAGCACCAAUUGACACGGAGCAUCCCAUCGCUGAGCCAAUCCACCAGUGACCUUCCUCCUCCGCCAUACGCUGUUGUUCCUCAGUUACCACCCUCCUCGCGAGCUUCCUCCCCCAAGAUGGCCCUCCGCACAUGCUCACCCGGGCCCCAAGGAGCUCCUCCGGCAAGCUGCACCUUCUGCAUAGUUUAUGCCUUCACUAGAUUGUGACUUCUUGAAGCAAACAUAGGAAGUUUCUGUUGCUAAUUUUUGCUUGUAUUGAUCUGUUGGGAGCCUUUCUGUACUUUAUACAGAUGCAGUUUAUCUUGCUACAAUUUUUUUCUUGUAUUCAUCUGUUGGGAGUCUUUAUGUACUUUAUACUGAUUCACAUGUAAUAAGCAGCUUGCAGUAUUAGUGAAGGAACAACACCAGGAGACAACCCACUGACCAAGGAGCGCCCUUAUAUCAUCAAUAUCUACCGAAACAAUAGUGACCAUCGUAGUAGAUUAUAUAUGGUUGUGUCAACUGCAGUCUGGUCGUAGAUUUGAAGUUUGGUCAUCGUUCAUAUUGAUGUGAGUACACCAUGACCACCCCCUGGAGUGAACCAAAAUGAUGAGUCAUAACUGCUUCUUGUGCGAGCUUACUUUGUUCAUUUUCAAUGUAAUAUAUGGUAUUAGAUUUUUCCCUAUUAAUAGAAGUAAACUUUCUUUCGUAUGUUACGCGAUGUAUUGCAUGGCCUUACAAGCAUGUAAGCUUAGGUCCUAUGAUUAAAUGCACAAUGACUAUCAUGGUUGAUUGCUUAAAAAUCUUGCUUCUAUGUAUGUAGUUGGAAGUGAGUUAGUGGCAAAUGCGGCAAUGCGUUGCGACCACAAGCAAGCUGAGGAGGUUUCCCAAAGGUGCACAAGUUCACUAAUGUUUGGAAGAUCUUCAAGCUGCUGAAGAUUUGGAAGACCUAAAAUUAAGUUGGUGGAGUGAUAAUGACAUGUGUCUUGUUUGUUGAACGUAAAGACUUGCUCUGCUCAUUUUGGUGAUUGUUGAAUUAGCUUAUUUAGGUUGUGUGGCACACAUCUAGAAACAUAUGUACAUCUCUAGUGGCACUACUUUAUUUUGGGUGUGUGGCAAACGUAUAUAUGUAAUCCUUUUGUGGUACUACCU